rnacentral:rRNA from 1 species
CCUACGGGUGGCUGCAGUGAGGAAUAUUGGUCAAUGGGCGCGAGUCUGAACCAGCCAAGUAGCGUGAAGGAUGACUGCCCUACGGGUUGUAAACUUCUUUUAUAUAGGAAUAAAGUGAGGUACGCGUGCCCUCUUGUAUGUACUUUAUGAAUAAGGAUCGGCUAACUCCGUGCCAGCAGCCGCGGUAAUACGGAGGAUCCGAGCGUUAUCCGGAUUUAUUGGGUUUAAAGGGUGCGGAGGUGGGUUGUUAAGUCAGGUGGUAAAGGCCGGGGCUCAACCGCAGACUGGCCGUUGAACCUGGCAGUCUCGAGUAGAGGAGAGGUGGGCGGAAUGCGCGGUGUAGCGGUGAAAUGCUUAGAUAUCGCGCAGAACUCCGAUUGCGAAGGCAGCUUGCCGG